AUGGACGUGAAUGAAAGACGAGUGAGGUUUGCUAUUGACAAUGAUUAUGAAAGCGAGACAAGGUGCAAAUGCAGGAAGAGUUGGAAAAUCAUUGCACCAGAAGCUGGUAUUGCAUUCAUUCUUGGACAUUCUUAUGUGAAAACAAAGCAAGGUUCAUCAUUGUUGAAGAAGUUGGCACUAAGCUAUGGAUACAAUUUCUUGAGAAGAAAUUGUAGAGGGCCUGAUGUGGCACUUAAGGUUCCACAAGUUUCUUUGUUGGAGGUUGGAGUGCUCUAUAUUGUGUAG